rnacentral:rRNA from 1 species
GCCUUAUCAACUUUCGAUGGUAGUUUAUGCGCCUACCAUGGUUGUAACGGGUAACGGAGAAUUAGGGUUCGACUCCGGAGAGGGAGCCUGAGAAACGGCUACCACAUCCAAGGAAGGCAGCAGGCACGCAAAUUACCCACUCCCGGCACGGGGAGGUAGUGACGAAAAAUAACGAGACGGUUCUCUUAGAGACCCGUCAUCGGAAUGGGUACAAUUUAAAUCCUUUAACGAGGAUCUAUUGGWGGGCAAGUCUGGUGCCAGCAGCCGCGGUAAUUCCAGCUCCAAUAGCGUAUAUUAAAGUUGUUGCGGUUAAAAAGCUCGUAGUUGGAUCUGCGCUUUUGGCUAGCGGUCCCCUAAAAAGGUGGAACUGCUGUGCCUGGGCUUACAGUCUAGUUUCCCUUUGGUGCUCUUUAUCGAGUGCUUUAGGUGGCUGGAAUUUUUACUUUGAAAAAAUUAGAGUGCUCAAAGCAGGCAGUUAGCCUGAAUAGYGGUGCAUGGAAUAAUGGAAUAGGACUUCGGUUCUAUYUUGUUGGUUUUCGGAGCUGAAGUAAUGAUUAAGAGGGACAGACGGGGGCAUUCGUAUCGCGACGUUAGAGGCGAAAUUCUUGGGUCGUCGCGAGACGCACGACUGCGAAAGCAUUUGCCAAGAAUGUUUUCAUUAAUCAAGAACGAAAGUUAGAGGUUCGAAGGCGAUCAGAUACCGCCCUAGUUCUAACCGUAAACGAUGCCAGCUAGCGAUCCGCGAGAGUUAGAUAUAUGACUUCGCGGGCAGCUUCCGGGAAACCAAAGCUCUUGGGUUCCGGGGGAAGUAUGGUUGCAAAUCUGAAACUUAAAGGAAUUGACGGAAGGGCACCACCAGGAGUGGAGCCUGCGGCUUAAUUUGACUCAACGCGGGGAAACUCACCCGGCCCGGACACCGUAAGGAUUGACAGAUCGAGAGCUCUUUCUUGAUUCGGUGGGUGGUGGUGCAUGGCCGUUCUUAGUUGGUGGAGCGAUUUGUCUGGUUAAUUCCGAUAACGAACGAGACUCUAGCCUACUAAACUAGGCAAUGAAUUUGGUUUGUUCAUUGAACUUCUUAGAGGGACAGAGGGCGUCUAGCCCUACGAGAUUGAGCAAUAACAGGUCAGUGAUGCCCUUAGAUGUUCGGGGCUGCACGCGCGCUACACUGAAGGAAUCAACAUGUUUUGUCGCCUUGUCCGGAAGGGCAGUGUAACCAGUUGAAACUCCUUCGUGCUUGGGAUAGGGAAUUGCAACUAUUUCCCUUGAACGAGGAAUUCCUAGUAAGUGCGGGUCAUCAUCUCGCGUUGAUUACGUCCCUGCCCUUUGUACACACCGCCCGUCGCUACUACCGAUUGGAUGAUUUAGUGAGGCCUUCGGACUGGGAACGAAGCGACUUCGCGGU